rnacentral:misc_RNA from 1 species
UUUCCGUUGGUGAACCAGCGGAAGGAUCAUUACAGAGAUCAUGCCCCUCGCGGGUAGACCUCCCACCCUGUGUUAUUUACGAUUGUUGCUUUGGCAGGUCGCCUUCGGGCACUCGGCUCCGGCUGAGGUGCGCCCGCCAGAGGACCCCAAACUCUAAAUUUUAAUGUCGUCUGAGUACUAUAUAAUAGUUAAAACUUUCAACAACGGAUCUCUUGGUUCUGGCAUCGAUGAAGAACGCAGC